rnacentral:rRNA from 1 species
UUUUUUGAGAAUUUGAUCCUGGUUCAGGAUGAAUGCUGGCGGCGUGGCUUAGGCAUGCAAGUCGAACGGGAGAGUCGCAUGACAAUCAAGUGGCAGACGGGUGAGUAACGCGUAGGAAUCGACCCCAGAGCGGAGGAUAGCUCAUCGAAAGAUGGGGUAAUACUCCAUAGUCCCGCAAGGGUAAAGGGCUUAACGGCCCGCUUCGGGAGGAGCCUGCGUCCCAUCAGCUAGUUGGCGGAGUAAUAGCCCACCAAGGCGAUGACGGGUAGCUGGACUGAGAGGUCGGUCAGCCACAACUGCACUGAGACACGGGCAGUACACCUACGGGUGGCAGCAACUGGGAAUAUUCGGCAAUGGACGAAAGUCUGACCGAGCGACGCCGCGUGGAG